rnacentral:rRNA from 1 species
AUACGUAAGGGGCGAGCGUUGUUCGGAAUUACUGGGCGUAAAGGGCCUGUAGGCGGACUGCUAAGUCAGAUGUGAAAGGUUACAGCUUAACUGUAAAAUUGCGUUUGAAACUGGUGGUCUAGAGUGUCGGAGAGGGUACUGGAAUUCCAGGUGUAGGGGUGAAAUCUAUAGAUAUCUGGAAGAACACCGGUGGCGAAGGCGGGUACCUGGCCGGACACUGACGCUGAGGGGCGAAAGCAUGGGUAGCAAACAGGAUUAGAUACCCUGGUAGUCCAUGCUAUAAACGUUGUAUACUAGACGUCAGAGGUAUCGAUCCCUCUGGUGUCGGAGCUAACGUGAUAAGUAUACCGCCUGGGGAGUAUGCCGGCAACGGUGAA